rnacentral:rRNA from 1 species
GACAGAGGGUGCAAACGUUGUUCGGAUUUACUGGGCGUAAAGCGCGUGUAGACGGCUUGGCAAGUCGGAUGUGAAAGCCCACGGCUCAACCGUGGAAGCGCAUCCGAAACGGCCUCGCUCGAGUCUCGGAGAGGAAGGUGGAAUGCUUGGUGUAGAGGUGAAAUUCGUAGAUAUCAAGCAGAACACCUGCGGCGAAGGCGGCCUUCUGGACGAUGACUGACGCUGAGACGCGAAAGCGUGGGGAGCAAACAGG